rnacentral:misc_RNA from 1 species
UAAUAAGUGUUUUAUGGCACUUUUUAAAUCCAUAUCCACCUUGUGUGCAAUGUCAGUCGAUCUUCUUCAUGGAGAUCGACCAAACAUCAACCUUUAUCUUUUAACUCUUUGUUCUGAAAAAUAUUAUGAAUAAACAAUUCAAAAUA